AUGGCGAUAACUUUAUGGUUGGUCGCGCGGAGCAAAUUGCUAGUUUCUUUAAUCAAAAUUGCUCAAUCAAAAUGCUUCUUAUCACCUUAUUUUUGUCGUGUGUCAUGGCUGAUUUCAAUUACGACUUGGAGAAGUUAACGUUAACCCAUAAAUGUGAUCCUCAAUGCACCUUCAACUAUUCUGAAAUCACAUCUGCCACUUCUCGAUUCUUCCCAACAUCAUGCGAUGCGGUUUGCGGGUUCCUCACUCUGAAUUCCAACACCGACAUGUCACACGAUGAAGUCAAGGCGUUAUUCAAAAAUAUGGCAACCUUAUCCGGCGGGCUACGAUUUGAGGGAACACAUUUCACAGAUUUUUCAAUUUUCCGUCAGAACCCCAAAGAUGACUCGGUUUCGAUUGAUUUUAACUUAUGGCCUAACUAUUCUUAACAACUCCCAAUUGACAAAUGUAACUUUCAUCAGUGAAUUGGAGUUGCACACCGAUGAGCAAACUCACGAGUGCUCGUUUCAAAUCGAGAACAACGAGAAAUUGGACGCAGGCAAGCUGUGUUCCACUACUCAGUUAAAUGGAAUGUUCAGAGUGAGAGUGUCCGGGAAUUCGAAAAACUGUGGCUGCAAUGGAUAUCAGAUCAACACAGAUACGCUGCACACUUUUCUAAAAUGCAAACUCUGUCCAACAUUAAAGAAGUCAGAGGACUCGUUGACAUUCAGAUGACCAAUCUCAAAAAUUUAUCAGUCCUCAGAAAUUUGAAAGAAAUCUACUCGAAAAACGGGGAAUUCAAUGAGAAUGUGUGUUUUAAUGUGCAGAAUAACCCGGAGAUGACUAGGCUGGCAAUGCCAGCUUUGAAGGAACUCUUCGACGCUCAGCUAGGCCCAUUUAUCAUGAACCUGCGAGACCUUCACCCAGAAUUUUGUAUUACCUACGACGAAAUGAAGCUGUUCAUGGAGAAACGUGUGUAUUUUAUCAAUAUCGACGCGAAAUAUUGCACUGAAGACAAUUUAACGAUUGGCGCCGGAGAUGAGGGAUUCGUUGUUAAAUUGACGAAAGUGUCACAUUUGUUCGGGUCCCUGACAAUACGGAAUACUCUUUUGGAGGAUAUCGAGUUUUUAUCGCAACUGGAGUUUAUCGCAGUGCUCGAUAAUGUUGAUGUCAUUCAAAUUGUAUCGAAUCAGAAUUUGAACUUUGUGUAUUUUCCGUGGAUGAGUGUAAUUAUCACAAGGUACAACCGUACUGUAGUUAUUGAUAAAAAUCCAAAACUAACGUCUCCCGAGUUGUCAAUUUUCAAUGUGCAAUAUGCUACGCGCAUUGCAAUUGUUGGAGAUUCCCUAGGUAAGGGUUUUUUACCUGAAAAUAUUUAA